UACGUAGGUGGCAAGCGUUACUCGGAAUCACUAGGCGUAAAGCGCAGGUAGGUGGUUUGGUAAGUCUUUUGUGAAAGCUCCUGGCUCAACUGGGAGAGGUCAAAGGAAACUACCAGGCUAGAGUGUGGUAGGGGAUACUGGAAUUCCUGGUGUAGCGUUGAAAUGCGUAGAUAUCAGGAGGAAUACCUAUGGCGAAAGCAGGUAUCUGGGCCAUCACUGACACUGAGCUGCGAAAGCUAGGGGAGCAAACAGG
rnacentral:rRNA from 1 species